GAUGAACGCUGGCGGCGUGCCUAAUACAUGCAAGUCGAGCGAACGGACGAGAAGCUUGCUUCUCUGAUGUUAGCGGCGGACGGGUGAGUAACACGUGGAUAACCUACCUAUAAGACUGGGAUAACUUCGGGAAACCGGAGCUAAUACCGGAUAAUAUUUUGAACCGCAUGGUUCAAAAGUGAAAGACGGUCUUGCUGUCACUUAUAGAUGGAUCCGCGCUGCAUUAGCUAGUUGGUAAGGUAACGGCUUACCAAGGCAACGAUGCAUAGCCGACCUGAGAGGGUGAUCGGCCACACUGGAACUGAGACACGGUCCAGACUCCUACGGGAGGCAGCAGUAGGGAAUCGUCCGCAAUGGGCGAAAGCCUGACGGAGCAACGCCGCGUGAGUGAUGAAGGUCUGCGGAUCGUAAAACUCUGUUAUUAUGGAAGAACAUAUGUGUAAGUAACUGUGCACAUCGUGACGGUACCUAAUCAGAAAGCCACGGCUAACUACGUG
rnacentral:rRNA from 1 species